UUACAACAGCCUCCUAAUUGAUUCUUUCCAGCCAUGUCUUCUAAUUCUAAAUAUCAUCUUAUUUUAUUGCCAGACUUUACUAAAUUAAAGAUGUCAUAUGCCACUCUCCUUUUUCCUCUUAAACUUUUGUUUCCAAAUGGGUGCUGAGAGAUAAAACACUCAAAUUCCUACCCUGCUAUGUCAUACUUUAAUGUCCCUAAACUAUUUUUCACAGUUUUACCUCUGUCAUGUUCUUCUUACCCUUUCUAGUCAGGGACACUCUUGUUUUCCUCUAAGUCCUUGCUUUUCUUCUUUGUUUUACCUUGUCUUUACUCACACUAGGUUUUAUAAAGCCCUCAAAAUUAGUCUUUUUUGUUUAUGUAGACCCUACUUAAAAUAGUAGGCACUUUAUAUUUGGGUGUUUUGCUUUACUUCUAAACUUUGAGAGAGAGAAGUUUUUGUUAUUUUCUUUUCCGGUUCUCUACAGAAGAAAAGACUGGUUUAUGUAAAUGAUAUCACCUUUAAGAAAUGCAGAAUUCAUCUUUUUUUUUAAUUUUUAAAAAUUUAUGUAUAUAUGUAUCACAUAUGGGCAGGUGCCUUCAGAGGUCAGAAGAGGGUAUCAGGACCCCAGAAACUGGGCUAACAAGCCUGGUGUGGGUGCUGGAAAUUAAACUCAGGUCUUCUGGAAGAGCAUCAAAUUAUUGUAACCACUGAGCCAUCUCUGCAGCCCCAUAUUCAUUUUGUAGAACUUUGGAGGCUUUCUUGCCCUAAUUUAUGGUUGAAUCUUCACAUUGCUUGUAUUGUACAGCUUUUCUUUUGUAUCAGAGUGGAAGCCUGAACCCUCCUGUUUACUCUAGUGUCUUAAAUUUCCUUAGCCUUAGUUGGUGUAUGCUUUGAUUACACUAGUUAUCUUUCCAUUAAUUUUAUUUUUUAAAACACUUUGGGUUAUGCCUAUGGAUGGUACUGAAAAACAUAGAUUAUCCCAUCUAAUUAUAGAGUUAAAAUAUUUGAUGAUAGGUCCAAACAUCGAGUAGACAGAUGUAGCUAGUAGAGGUGGCCAGAUUUUCAUUUAUAAAUACAUUACCAAGCUCAGUGGUCUAGCAAAAGACAGGUGGGAUUGCUGCAUUUAACAACAUAACCUGAGUCUACUCUUAAGACUUUAUAACUACACGGCUAAAAUGCAUAAGUUGUUAUUCCUAGCCCUAGGGAGACAAACUAUAGUCAAAAUGAAAGUGGGAAUAUUCAGGACUUCACAUACUUAACCUAGUCUCAAAUCUGAUAUGAGUUAUAGAUAGAUAGAUAACUACUAAUUCUCCUUUUUUCAGUCAAGAGAACACAGGAUCAAAAAGGUUAUGUCAUUUGUCUUCUCUAUUGAGAAGUACAAGUGUAUAAGUGUAUUUUUCUUUGGAAUGUAAUUGUUUGAUUUUUUUUUAGCUUAAAAAAAUUGUGACCUAUUUGAAAUUCAUCACUUUAUUAGUAUUAUCCAAAGUCUUUGUUCCCUGUAGUACUAGUCAUUACAUACACUACAUAAACAGAAAGAGCAAUACUUUGUAAUGAAGACAUUUUAGGAUUACCUGACUCUGUUUUCUGCUAUAUCAUAUAGCAAGAUACAGUCUCAGUAUAAACUUUCCCUUGGUUGUAUGGAUUACUACACCAUCACAUUGCCCAACACUUGCUUACAUAUCUAAAUGUCUAGUUUUGAAAACUAAAAACCUUCUAUUUGUCUUUAGCUGUUUGUUGUCCUAGAAAGUGUGUUAAGAAAGUAGCCCUGUAUACUUACCUGGCAGGGGAGAUACCAUGAUCACGAAGGUGGUUUUCCCAGGGCGAGGCUUAUCCAUUGCACUCCGGAUGUGCUGACCCCUGCGAUUUCCCCAAAUGCGGGAAACUCGACUGCAUAAUUUGUGGUAGUGGGGGACUGCGUUCCCGCUCUCCCCUGG
rnacentral:lncRNA from 1 species